rnacentral:tRNA from 1 species
GAGGGUAUAGCUCAGUGGUGGAGCACAUGCUUAGCACACAUGAAGUCCUGGGUUCAAUCCCCAGCACCUCUU